rnacentral:rRNA from 1 species
AACUUUGUUUAUUUUUGAAUUCUGAUGUUAUAAAUAAAUAAGUUAAAACUUUCAACAACGGAUCUCUUGGUUCUGGCAUCGAUGAAGAACGCAGCGAAAUGCGAUAAGUAAUGUGAAUUGCAGAAUUUAGUGAAUCAUCGAAUCUUUGAACGCACAUUGCGCCCAUUAGUAUUCUAGUGGGCAUGCCUGUUCGAGCGUCAU